rnacentral:rRNA from 1 species
AGAGUCCUUCGGGGCUUGAGAUCGGCGCACGGGUGAGUAACGCGUACAUGACCUACCUCUAAGACUGGGAUAGCCCUGGGAAACUGGGAUUAAUACCGGAUGUGAUAAUAUGUAUAGAAAUGUAUUAUUAAAGAUGAGUCGCUUAGAGAUGGGUGUGCGUAUGAUUAGCUAGUUGGUAGGGUAACGGCCUACCAAGGCUACGAUCAUUAGGGGGCGUGAGAGCGUGGCCCCCCACACGGGUACUGAGACACGGACCCGACUCCUACGGGAGGCAGCAGUAAGGAAUAUUGGUCAAUGGACGAAAGUCUGAACCAGCCAUCCCGCGUGCAGGAUGACGGCCCUAUGGGUUGUAAACUGCUUUUGGCAGAGACGAAACGCCUUCAUUUAUGAGGGUCUGACGGUAUCUGCAGAAUAAGCACCGGCUAACUCCGUGCCAGCAGCCGCGGUAAUACGGAGGGUGCAAGCGUUAUCCGGAAUCACUGGGUUUAAAGGGUGCGUAGGCGGGGAAUUAAGUCAGUGGUGAAAGCCUGUCGCUUAACGAUAGAAUUGCCAUUGAUACUGAUUUUCUUGAAUUGGGUUGAGGUUAGCGGAAUGUGACAUGUAGCGGUGAAAUGCAUAGAUAUGUCAUGGAACACCAAUUGCGAAGGCAGCUAGCUGGGCCUUGAUUGACGCUGAGGCACGAAAGCGUGGGUAGCGAACAGGAUUAGAUACCCUGGUAGUCCACGCCCUAAACGAUGCUAACUCGAUGUUUGGGCAGUAAGCUUGAGCAUCCAAGGGAAACCGAUAAGUUAGCCACCUGGGGAGUACGUCCGCAAG